UGGGGAAUAUUGCACAAUGGAGGGAACUCUGAUGCAGCAACGCCGCGUGCGGGAUGACGGCCUUCGGGUUGUAAACCGCUUUCAGCCAUGACGAAGCUUUUGUGACGGUAGUGGUAGAAGAAGCACCGGCUAACUACGUGCCAGCAGCCGCGGUGAUACGUAGGGUGCGAGCGUUGUCCGGAAUUAUUGGGCGUAAAGAGCUUGUAGGCGGUUUGUCGCGUCGAUAGUGUAAACACGCAGCUUAACUGUGUGCCUGCUGUCGAUACGGGCUGACUAGAGGAGGGUAGGGGAGAAUGGAAUUCCCGGUGGAGCGGUGAAAUGCGCAGAUAUCGGGAGGAACACCAGUGGCGAAGGCGGUUCUCUGGACCUUUCCUGACGCUGAGAAGCGAAAGCGUGGGUAGCAAACAGG
rnacentral:rRNA from 1 species